AGCUCCAAUAGCGUAUAUUAAAGUUGUUGCGGUAAAAAAGCUCGUAGUUGGAUUUCUGUUGAAGGAUUUCGGUCCGCACCACGUGCGUGAUUGGACAUCCUUCAGCAUCCUUCCGAAGAACGUUGCUGCGCUUGAUUGCGUGGCGCGGACUCCGGGACUUUUACUUUGAGGAAAUUAGAGUGUUCACGGCAGGCUAUCGCCAGAAUACAUUAGCAUGGAAUAAUAUUAUAGGAUCUCGAUUCUAUUUUGUUGGUUUCUAGGAUUGAGAUAAUGAUUAAUAGGGACAACUGGGGGCAUUCGUAUCAACACGUCAGAGGUGGAAUUCUUGGAUUGUGUUGCGACGAACUACUGCGAAAGCAUUUGCCAAGGAUGUUUUCA
rnacentral:rRNA from 1 species